GAGAUUUGGGAGUGCUCGCAAGAGAACAUGCACACAGGUGCUGCAUGGCUGUCGUCAGCUCGUGUCGUGAGAUGUUGGGUUAAGUCCCGCAACGAGCGCAACCCUUGUCAUUAGUUGCUACGAAAGGGCACUCUAAUGAGACUGCCGGUGACAAACCGGAGGAAGGUGGGGAUGACGUCAAGUCCUCAUGGCCCUUAUGGGUAGGGCUUCACACGUCAUACAAUGGUACAUACAGAGGGCUGCCAAACCGCGAGGUGGAGCUAAUCCCAGAAAGUGUAUCGUAGUCCGGAUUGGAGUCUGCAACUCGACUCCAUGAAGUUGGAAUCGCUAGUAAUCGCGGAUCAGCAUGUCGCGGUGAAUACGUUCCCGGGUCUUGUACACACCGCCCGUCACACCAUGGGAGCGGGUUCUGCCAG
rnacentral:rRNA from 1 species